rnacentral:tRNA from 1 species
GCCUGGGUGGCUCAGUUGAUUGAGCGUCUGACUUUAGCUCAGGUGGUGAUCUCAUGGUUCUUGAGUUCAAGCCCCACCUGGGGCU